rnacentral:rRNA from 1 species
AGUGAACGCUGGCGGUAGGCCUAACACAUGCAAGUCGAACGGCAGCACAGUAAGAGCUUGCUCUUACGGGUGGCGAGUGGCGGACGGGUGAGGAAUACAUCGGAAUCUACUUUUUCGUGGGGGAUAACGUAGGGAAACUUACGCUAAUACCGCAUACGACCUACGGGUGAAAGCAGGGGAUCUUCGGACCUUGCGCGAUUGAAUGAGCCGAUGUCGGAUUAGCUAGUUGGCGGGGUAAGGCCCACCAAGGCGACGAUCCGUAGCUGGUCUGAGAGGAUGAUCAGCCACACUGGAACUGAGACACGGUCCAGACUCCUACGGGAGGCAGCAGUGGGGAAUAUUGGAAAAUGGGCGGAAGCCUGAUCCAGCCAUACCGCGUGGGGGAAGAAGGCCUUCGGGUUGUAAAGCCCUUUUGUUGGGAAAGAAAAGCAGCAGGUUAAUACCCCGCUGUUCUGACGGUACCCAAAGAAUAAGCACCGGCUAACUUCGUG